GCCAACCAGUGUUUUUAAUUUCCACUCACUGCCAGUCACUCCGGCGUGAGCCAGCGCAGGGUGUGAGCUCGGAGAGGCCGUGUGUCCAGAGAUGAGAAAAGCAGCCGCAGCCUGGGCGCCGCUGAGGAACAGGCCCCAUGUCUCAGAGAUGGGAGUCAUGGAAACCAGCCACAACCGUAGAUACGCUGGAAAUAUUCUUCAACAAUUCAUUAAGUAAAUGAGUAGAUGCCUGCUGUAUGUCAAAUCCUGUGGAAAGCUGUGGGUGGGAACUGUGUGUGGGCAGCCCUUCUGAUUCUAGUGCUAGUCAAGUAAAGACAUGAGAUUCU